rnacentral:misc_RNA from 1 species
UCCGAGUUGACCCCGGCAGUCUCUGAUGAGUCCCCAUCACCCCGAAGGGCAUGCUGGCAACAUCAAACAAGGGUUGCGCUCGUUGCGGGACUUAACCCAACAUCUCACGACACGAGCUGACGACAACCAUGCACCACCUGUACACCGACCAAAAGGGGCACCCAUCUCUGGAUGUUUCCGGUGUAUGUCAAGCCCAGGUAAGGUUCUUCGCGUCGCAUCGAAUUAAGCCGCAUGCUCCGCCGCUUGUGCGGGCCCCCGUCAAUUCCUUUGAGUUUUAGCCUUGCGGCCGUACUCCCCAGGCGGGGUGCUUAAUGCGUUAGCUUCGGCACGGACGGGGUCGAUAUCCGCCCACACCUAGCACCCAACGUUUACGGCUAGGACUAC